GCCUUCGUGGCGCAGUGGUCAGCACGCUCGACGCGUAACCCAGAGGUCCGUGGUUCGAUUCCUGGCGAAGGCA
rnacentral:tRNA from 1 species